rnacentral:rRNA from 1 species
UGGGGGAUAUUGCACAAUGGGCGAAAGCCUGAUGCAGCGACGCCGCGUGGGGGAUGAAGGCUUUCGGGUUGUAAACCUCUUUCGCUAUCGAACAAGGCCCGCUUAGGGUGGGUUGAGGGUAGGCGGAGAAGAAGCGCCGGCUACCUACGUGCCAGCAGCCGCGGUAAUACGUAGGGCGCGAGCGUUGUCCGGAAUUGUUGGGCGUAAAGGGCUUGUAGGCGGCUUGUUGCGCCUGCUGUGAAAACGCGGGGCUUAACUUCGCGCGUGCAGUGGGUACGGGCAGGCUUGAGUGUGGUAGGGGUGACUGGAAUUCCAGGUGUAGCGGUGGAAUGCGCAGAUAUCUGGAGGAACACCGAUGGCGAAGGCAGGUCACUGGGCCAUUACUGACGCUGAGGAGCGAAAGCAUGGGUAGCGAACAGG